rnacentral:rRNA from 1 species
GACAGAGGGUGCGAACGUUGCUCGGAAUUACUGGGCGUAAAGCGCGUGUAGGCGGUUACGCGAGUCGGGUGUGAAAGCCCGGGGCUCAACCCCGGAAGUGCACUCGAUACUACGUAGCUAGAGUCCCGAAGGGGAGAGCGGAAUUCCCGGUGUAGAGGUGAAAUUCGUAGAUAUCGGGAGGAACACCAGUGGCGAAGGCGGCUCUCUGGACAGGAACUGACGCUGAGACGCGAAAGCGUGGGUAGCAAACAGG